AGCUUUGUACAGUGGCAGUAUCAUAGCCAAUGAGGUUUAUCUGAGGCAUGAUUAUUGCUAAUUGAAAACUUUAUUUCUUGGG
ensembl:snRNA U4 U4 spliceosomal RNA